rnacentral:rRNA from 1 species
ACUGAACGCUGGCGGCAUGCUUUACACAUGCAAGUCGAACGGUAACAGGGUGCUUGCACCGCUGACGAGUGGCGAACGGGUGAGUAAUGCGUCGGAACGUGCCGAGUAGUGGGGGAUAACGCAGCGAAAGUUGUGCUAAUACCGCAUACGUACUGAGGUAGAAAGUGGGGGACCUUCGGGCCUCACGCUAUUCGAGCGGCCGACGUCUGAUUAGCUAGUAGGUGAGGUAAAGGCUCACCUAGGCGACGAUCAGUAGCGGGUCUGAGGGGAUGAUCCGCCGCACGGGGACUGAGACACGGCCCAGACUCCUACGGGAGGCAGCAGUGGGGAAUUUUGGACAAUGGGCGAAAGCCUGAUCCAGCCAUGCCGCGUGUCUGAAGAAGGCCUUCGGGUUGUGAAGGACUUUUGUCAGGGAGGAAAUCCCUAGCGUUAAUACCGCUGGGGGAUGACAGUACCUGAAGAAUAAGCACCGGCUAACUACGUGCCAGCAGCCGCCGUAACAC